GCAGAUUUGACGCCUGAGCCAGCCAUCCUAAACAACGGCUUGUGCUGGACCUGUCAUCUGCAACAACUAUCAUCAUUUGGAUAAACAGCAUCGGCAUCCCUUUUGAUUGGAGAAACAACCGAUGUCGUCCAAAUUACGGAUCUCUUCGUAUUCCCCUUUCUUUAAAUGUCCUCGUGUACAUACACCCAUGUGAGUGUGGGGGUAUUCACGAGGACGCCCUUUGUCCCUAUUCCGCCUGGUGGAUUCAAUUCUUCAGAGGACGGAGCAACUGUGGAUGCCUUGCCGUAUUUCCCAGGCUUCAAGGGCCGAGAUGUUGGUGUCGCUGAAGGGCAGAGCUCCGUAGACGAGAAAAUAGAGAGUGACCCCCAUGGCCCAAACAUCCGCUGCCUUGCCGUGAAAUCGACCCGAGCCCGCC